rnacentral:lncRNA from 1 species
CAAUUCUGGGGCCGGUGACAAAAACCGUCCGGGCGAAAAGCAGGCGCUUCAAGUGGAGGCUAAAACACGGUCCUCUCACAUUCCAUUGCGUAGCAAGGGGGGAUUUAGGGAGACUUAUUUCCUUAAAACUGUCCUCCCAUCCACAGAGCGCCCAGUCUGCUCUGAUCAAGUUGAUAUAGAAAAAUUCAGCCAGGGUAUAGGGAAUACUACACGAGGCGGACUAACCGAAGAUUUGGCCCUUAUAUAUUAUUACAGAUAUAAUACUAAUUCCUGGUGGUGUAUUUUUAAAAAAAGUUAAUAGAUUUAAAUAUCAGCCAUGUUAAGACAUGCUGUUGUGGCUGGAACACAUCGACAGAGACAAUACCAUCCCUGCAGGAGUUUGGUGACAUCCGACUUAUUUCAGUGGAUGCAUUUUUACUGCACCCUUGAAUUGACUGGAGAACUCAGUCGGCCUCUUACACUUCAGGAGAAAAUCAACGCCAACUGUUUUUAUCUCUCAAAGGGCCUCUGCAACAAACACAUGGAUUCCAUUAAAUACACUCUCCUUCAGACCAUCAACAUGACGGAGCAAAGUCCAGAUCCACGGAGAUCCAACAAGGACAAAUGAUACAAGGAGAAAGAUGCCUCUCAGCAGACACACUGACUUGAUGUUCAUUAGCUUACUGUAUGAGCAAGUUUUGCUUUCCAAUAUAACUUAUGAUUGCUAUGAUUUUUUAAAUUAAAAUGCACUUUAUGUAAAAUGUAUUGUUGAUAUAUGUUGCUACCAUUAUUAAUGAUAUUCAAUAUAUUUUAAAUCAUGUCCCUUGCAUUCAAACUAAGUGUUUGUGGUUUUCACCAACCCAGGAGACUGUAACAUUAUGGCUGACUUAUCCUCCAACCCCAGCGGUGUGUAAAUAAAGAUAUCUAUGUUGAUGUAACUGUCAAGCAGUCUCUUCCUCCACUCCUAGACAUCCUGUGGACCUGGGCUUACAUACAGUACAUGCUCUCUCUCUCCUCUCUCUCUCUCUCUCUCUCUCUCUCUCCUCUCUCUCUCUCUCUCUCUCUCUCUCUCUCUCUCCUCUCUCUCUCUCUCUCUCUCUCUCUCUCUCUCUCCUUUUCUCUCUCUCUCUCUCUCUUUCUCUCUCUUCUCUCUCUCUCUUCUCUUUCUCUUCUCUCUCUUUCUCUCCUCUCUCGCUCCUCUCUCUCUCUCUCUUUCUCUCUUUCUCUCGUUCUCUCUCUCUCUCUCUCUCUCACUCUCUUUCUCUCUCUCUGAGGCUUUCUCUCAAGGCCACCCACCCAGUGCUAGGCUAGCUCACUCUCUCUCUCUGGAGGCUGAGGUGUCUGGUAAAACCUGGUGUGGUAAAACCUGCCCUGCAGACUGGACCUCUCUCCGUUACAGAGUUCAAAGGAGUAAGAACUAAAUGUGGAGGAUUUGUUCAGGCUUAUUUGGUAACCCAGGAUUUGAAUUGGAUUCCGGGAAGCAUUCUUAACACAUUUGAAAAUGUAACAUUGUGUGAAAAAAAGUGUGUAAUCCCCAUAAUACAUUUGAGAAAUGGGCCCAGCGUGCUAACACAACUGUGACUAUUCAUGAUUUCUAUCAAAUGCUUUCUUGUCUUGACUCUCUGGAGUGAGGUGAGUUUUGGAGGGAUUGGUGAGAUCUCAGGCAUUGGGAGAGCCAGUUAAGUAGUGGUUCUUCCAUAUUAACCUCUCUCUCAGCGCUGUUUUGGUUAUCUGACCUGAAUAUGAGAUGGAGGUCAGCCACCAUGUUCCUUGAGGUAUUCUCUUAGGCCCCCCAACAGCAGUGGAGCAUUUAAACCCCCAGUAGAUUAUACCUCCCUGGAAGGAAUGUGAGUAACACACACACACACACACACACACAGACACACACACACAUUGUACUUUGUGUCUCAAAUAUAGUAACUGUUUUUAAGACAGUGAAAUAUUUCAAACUUGGUUUCCCAUCAGAGUCAUGGUCUCUACCCUGUUUGAAUACAUUGUCU